UCAGCAAAAGAAACUCCAGAACCCAAAGCAAAUUUUCCUGCCCGGUACAAGGAGGACAUAUUUUCACUGACUGUUUCCAUGGAAAUAAAUCGGAGGCAUUACUUUUGGAGCAACUAUGCGGCCCAAGAUAAUUUGUCUUGACUCAGUGUGAUCCAGGCAAGCCAAAAGGUUGCACACCCAUGAAAUAAGCCAAGAAAGUACAUGGACUGCAAGAAAAUUCUUUUUGGUCUACUGACAUCCCUGUUUAAUUAAUAAGUGCUGUCACACAUUCAGCAAGCACGCAUAUCGCUCUUGGUCUUGGUAAGAGCCACUCUCUUUUCCAGUGCUGUGAGUCACUCAGUCUUCACAAGGUUUUGUCCUCUUCACCAGUCACAAAAAAAUAUUUGUUUGGAAUUUGGUAAACUGAAGUGGAAGUGUCCUCGCUGCUGAGAAUUUACACUGGGACCAGAAUGAUGCCUGCUCUUCCCUCACACAAGGAUGCAGAGCCUAUCGAAGGAAGGGAAUUACGAAAUGACAAGGAUCAUAUGAGCCACUUGGUGCAGUACACACAGAGCAGCUAAAAUAACCAGAAGCAGAGAAGUCAGUGAACAAGGGGUGAUGCCAUCUGUGAUACACAAAGUUAUAAAAGAGUAAGCUGACAUUAUAAAGUGGCUGGAGAAGCUGUGUACUUCCUACAGCAGUAGAGGAGCAUGAAGUGCAAUCCUCCAUCAUUUUUGAGGAGAGAAACUCCGUCUGCAAGCUGUGAAAGCAAACUGGUCGUGUGAUUGCUGUCUGAAGGAGUAUCCUUUGAUACCUAUUGAUUCAAUUGAUUUCAUUUUGUGGAAUGGGUUGGAAAGGGCUGAUCUUUGUCUUCUGUCACAAGGACUGGGAAUUAAAUCAUUCUGUCGCCUUGGGCUCUGAUCAUGUUAAUUCCACAGCCAACAGGCAAACAUGGGCAUGGUGCCUGGCACAGUGGUGAUCUGUACUGUCAUUCAGAAGAUGAAACUGUGCGACAUUCACUAGGAGCCAACUGAAAAGUCACCGGAGGCACCCUGUGGCCUUUUCUUUUGAUGCAUAAACAGAUUUUACUGGAAGAGGGGAGAGUUGCCCAUUGCACCAGAUCAACUCUGCUUUUUCACAUCACUGCUUGGUUGCUGAUGUUGGUCCCUGGCACAGGGCUCUCCAAUUUUCAUCAGACUACUAAGAAUCCCCUCAGUAUUUCAGUGAGAGCAUUUAGGAUACUAAGAUAUAUCUGGUUUGCUUUGGGGUUUUUAUUGUUGUUGCUGAUUUUUUCCAAUCUGUGGAAGGAACUGUCACUAGGAAACCACUGUGGUACGGGAACUAUAUGAAUUCUGCAGUCUUCUUCAUAUCUCUUUAUCAAGUGAUAGAUACAGCCUGUCCACUCCAUUCUUUCCCUUUUUCCUAUUCUGUGACAGCAAAUAAAGACACCAGCUAAAGCCGGUUGUGGAGAUUAGGGCUGUUUUCAGCUCACCUUCUUAGCAAAACAAGGCUUACAUGCUUACUCUGCAUGUAAUCUUAAUGUCUUAUGAACACUUCUAGCCAAUCUCUCCCAAACAUAUCAGAAAAGCUGAGUUGCCAGUACACUUACUUCCUACAUUUUCUUCCAGUUCAGUCAAAAGGAGCAGCCCAAAAAAUCAUCAGCAGCAUUUUUCUGCUGUAAGUGGGAAAGGUAGAAAAACAGCAGGAGAACUUUAUAUUUGCACAAGGAGAUAAUAUAAAUCUCACUUUCAAUCACUUAGUAUCCAUUCACUGAGAGAUGCACAUCCACAAGAAAGGAGGUGCGCAGCAACCCACGUUUUCUUAUGUGAAUACUUGUCAACUAGUAGACAAAUCAAACAAGUCAGUUGGUUCUUUGCAGGCUUACACUUGUGGCAUUGAACUUAAAUCAUUCCUAUUUCUGAAUUCUGGUCCUGAGUUUAGGUAAUGAUUUCUUUCUCAGUAGUGACUUUCUGUACUGGUUGAAACAUAAACUACUUAAAUGACUGUACUCAAUACUUAUUUAUUGUCUCUUGCAGAAUUAUCUUUCCCAAACCUUUCUUGAACUAUAAUGUUAAUCUGGGGAGCUCUGGAUGUAGUCCAUCCUGGAUGUCUGCUCCAGAUAAUACAAAAAAAACCCCGAAUUUUUCAUAAUUCUUUUUAUACAUGCAUGUUGGUUUCUCAGGUAUGUGAUUUAUGGACUCUUUCAGCAUCACUUUCUGCUUUUGAGAAGAUACAGAAAAAAUAGCAGCCCUAAUGCAAGAGGAAGAUGUGAGGAAAAUCAAAAAGCUUUGUGUUCCCAGAGUAGUAAAAAAAUAUCUCAAAAUGUUUUUCUUAAGAAAACAGUUUCUGGCAUGACCAGGAUGUUUUCAACUCAACUUUCUUCUACCUUGUUUAUACAGGUGAUCAUCAGUUUUCUUCAGCUUCUGGUCUAUCAGUCUCAGAAGAUAUUUACAGAUCGUAUAAUAUUGAAUUAGAAUCAUGGAAGUGUUAAUGUGCAAUAUAUGCAACAGAAUGGUGGCUACAAAUUAACACUAGUGUCCAAUCCUUCAGAAAAAAUAAUAGAAAUAUGCUACUGCUGAGAUUUAAUGCAAAGUGAAUGAAAAGAAACAGUGACAAUACUUCUCCAUGCUUUCAGAAUUAAGAGGAUUCUAACACUAAUCAAAACCUUUCACACAUUCUUUUUUCCCAUGCUGAAAAUGGAUCAAAGUUUGAAAAUACAACUCAGAGAUUAUUAUGUUUGCAUGUGUAUUUUACAAUCUAUAAACAAGACCUUUACUAAGCAAGCAACUUCUCUAUGGAAAAAGUUCAAUUUCCCAUAAAGAAUUCACGGGAAGAUCUGUAUGUUCAAAAUAUACUUUCUAUUUAUUUCACCCCAGAAAUUCAUCUGACCAAUUUAUUUUCCAGGAAGGGGGAUAAGUGAAAACAUAUGCUUGGUCAUUCUGUAUUUUUUUAACUUCUUGAAUUUCAGCAGUAAGGAGAUUAACUUGACUCAGUAUAAACUAGGGAUGGAAAGAUCUUUGAUGCAGCUGUGAAACUUUCUGCUUCUUUCAGAGCUGAAGGAACACAGCAACAGAGACAUCUGCCACAUCUGCUUCUGUUAUAAAGCAUCAAGUAAAUUGAGGAAGAUAAUGCUUGGUCAUGGUACAUGUUAAUAUCACCUUCUGACAAAGCAGGGUUUUCUUAUGUUCAGUUAUGUACACUGACCUGGUAUUAAGUGGAAGGAUCACUGCCCUUUUACAACCUUUUGUACUUGUUCAAUAGCUUUUGAUUCUGUUUGGAGAACCCGUUUCUUGUUAAAAACUUGAGCAACCAAAUCCAUCCUCCUUGAGCAUUGCUGCUCAUAUACCACAGAAUCACCAAAUUCUUGUGGGCUUUCCAAAGCCUUCGUGAGCUAAUGGUGGUCUCCCACGAUUUCCUUCAAAAUCCACACAACUAUAAUAAGCCAGAUACCUUAGACUUACAAGGACAGCAUUCACUAACAGCUUUGAAAUGUGUAUACCCAUUGCUGCUUUGAAAACAAGGCCAAAACAGCAUUUUAUUUUUACUGAACAUUACUAGAGAGCUCUCCACUAAGCCUGUCCAGAACUUUUGUAUUAUUUGAGAUGAAACAAGAAGAGGAAGCUCCUUCUCGAGAAAUUUUGUACUAGUGAGGUUUUUUUUAUUCAGCUGAACCCAAAGGCAGAAUUUGGAUCAGAUGUUUUAAUGUAAAACCUCCAUUACUUCCUGUAGAUUUUCCUAUUGCUGUGCAGCCCAAUUGAGCAGAUGGUAUUAUUCAUCUAUUUUUCUUCUUUGAACUGUGAGUGUAACUGUCAUUUGUCUUCUGACAGUCUUAUCUUCCUGUUUUUGGUGGGUUUUUUUUGUUUUUUUUUUGUUUUUUUUUUUUGUUGUUGUUGUUGUUUUCCCUAAAAUAUUUGGUGAUCUGGUCAAAAGCAUGCUGAGAAAUCGUUACUACCCUGGGUAAAUUGCCUUCCAAAUUCUGCAGGUGAAUUUCAUCUCUAAUCAGAUUCCUGCUGCAUGACAUCAGCUGCAUAGAAUUCAAAUCAAUACAAAAGUCCUCUUGCAGGUUUGAGCUCCCUCUGAAGGAUCAGCCAUUUCAUUUAGCUGCUGUGUACUUAUUGCUGGAAUAUACCUGGGAUGGUUUGAGUGACAGUCUUCAUUUCUGGUUCGAAGGCCUCAAAGCACCAGGAGGGCAAUGCAGCCCUCACUGCCCAUGAGAGCCGACAAGUGCUGAUGACUUGAAGGCUGUGACAAUACAGUCCUGUCUGACAUUAAUCUGGGGCUGGGAGUGAGAGCUGUUCCUGCCUCCUCAUGACCUCCAUUAUUCACCGUCUGAGUGACUGCAGUGCUGACAAUCCAUGCUCAUCCACACCAGCCCACGCCAGGCAGUCAGCAGGAAGGUGCAAAGACAGAUUUAACAAGGCAGUUCCUUGCUAAUCAUCAUGUGCAUUAAAGAAGAUGGGGCAGAAUGAAGAAUGAAAAUCCUAAGGGAAUCCUAAACAGAGAGACAUAAAUAGGAGUUUAAAGGGUGAAUUGCAUCAUUUGCCCUGCUUACAGGUGUCACUGCAGACCCGGACUGCUAAAUGGGUGCCUUCUUCUGGAUUGGACUCAGAGUAAGCACGGACCAAGGUACAAAAAUAAUUAAAACAAGUUGCUAUUGAAUAGGAUUUGCAAGUGAGGAUUCUUGCAAGCAGAAGGCUGAGGCUGAAAAGUGAAAGCUGCAGAGGCUUUCUGACUUUUUAAGAGAAAAACACUGCCUCAUCUUUUCUCCUGAUACACACUGGUACUCUCUCUGCUCCUCUGCACCUGCAGAAAUGGAUGGAUGCUCCAAGUCUGUUCUGUUUCUGUUGGAAGAACUGUGCUAGACAGCUCAGGAGUCUGCAGGUGCCAGCCAGAGCAUGUUUUGCCAAGCAAAGGAGACUGCUUUGUGCCUCUGAAGGAAGGCUCAGGGGCAGGUUUUGCACUGGAGAACUUAUCUACAACAUAGAGUUCUUCCUACGUAAGACAGACAAACCAUAAGCCAUGCAUCAAAUACUGGUUCAGGGGAGCUCAACGAGUCCUCUCAGAUGAAUACAAAAUUCACCUAAAAAUGGAUUUCCAGAAGAACUGACAAGUUGGUUGGUGUGACACAUGGACUUUUUGCAGGUGGGUAAGGGGCAAGAAAGGACAAUGAGAAAGGACACGGCCAAUUCUUAUGUCAGUGUUCUCAAACUGCAACCUUUCUGUUUUGUUUCUUUGCCUCCUAAAUGGCAUUUUUACCUCAUUAAAAUUAAAGUAGAUUUUAAUAUUAAAACAGCUGUUAAAUAAUGUGAAAACAGAAUAAGUUCACCCAGAUUAAAAAUGUAUAUAUGUAUCCUUUUUUUUUUUUUUCUUUGCUCCAUUUCUCCAGAUUCUUCCAGGUCAACUCUAACAAAAUCUUUCCCCUACCUCUGGUCUGUCCAUUACUAGGCCAUGAUUUAUUUAGCUCUAAGCCUAUGCUUAAAGGUGCGUCUGAAGCUUUUUCCAACUGCUGAUAUCACAGCGCUGACACUAUGCUGUGACUCUCCUCUGUGACCCUCGUGCUUUCAAAUGUCCCCUGCCUCAGACUUCUAAAGAAUAAAGAAAUAGCUGUGGUUAGUUUGCUAGGUCAAAAGCAGCCCAGCUGAAAACAGACACUUACGUUCCCCCCUAGCUAUGCCUGCAUCUGAAAUCAGGGGAUUUUCUUUUCAAGUUUCGUCAGCUUUCCAACUCUUUCAAGAAAGAGAUCGAAAGGGGAAAGAAAGGAGAGAGGACUGUAAACCUUAAUGUGCAUACAGCUGUGACAGGGAGCAAAUGCAGGGAAAAUUCUCACUGCAGUUGGCGUGUCCUCCUGCAGCCCAGGCUGAAGCAACCCCUGUGGCUGCUGUGCUGUUGGCGGGUGUUCAGUGCAUCGCAGCUGAAGAUGCUCAUGUGAACCCAUGGGAAUCUGUUCUGCCAAGUUCCUCGUAGCUCUGCUCGGUUCGGUCUCAUUUUUAUUUAAUGCUCUUCUCUCCCCUACUGUGGUUUGGUGCGGCUCAUUUCUGCAGCUUCCAUGAAGAUGCAAGGGUGAGAAGUAUUGCGGAGUUAAGAGAAGAGAAAGUCUCUCCAUCUCUCUGUCGUCCUGCUCAGACCCGAGAUUUAGACAAGGAAGAAUGGAAGAUUCGCUCGAAGGCGGCCUGAGAGUCUGCUGAGAAAGGAUGAGCCACAGCAGAGGAGGAGGAGAUUCAAGAAGGAAACAACAACCCAAGAGCAAGGAGGUUGUGAAUCAGCCAAACCUCUGGGAGACAUCAUGCACAGAGGAGGAGACACCAAGACUCCAUGCUCAGGAAAACUGAUAUACUUCUGAGACAAAUAUGGUGAGAAAGGCAGCAACACUAUCUUCUAACACCAAAGUUGCAAAUCUAUUCUGGUGAAGCUAAGUGAAAAAUGAAGCAAACUGAUUUCAGAGACAUAUACGUAGGCCUAUGGAGAAAGCCCCAAGCAUAAAAACUAGCUCUCAGCACGAAACAUGGGUAGCAAUUGCCUUUGAUUACUAACAGCAGGUUUUUCAGUCUAUGGACAAAUGUGUAGAUUAUGAGCAAUUUUCUGAGGCAUCUAAAUCAGCAUAUUCAGAUAGAAACAAAUUUUUGAUGCUAUGGCAUCACUGCUACAGUCCAAAUUACAUUGCGCAGAUGUACAUGUAAAUAUCUUACUUGCACUAAAGGCAGCUCAGAAAAAUCAGGGAAUCUGACAUCUCCCCUGAGAUUUUUAAGAUAGUUCAAAUGAUAAAAUAAGUAAGUUCCUCAGAAACAAGAUGGGUGUUGGUGACAGUUUGUACAUUCAGCACAACAAAUAAUCAGCUGCUAUGAAUUUGGAUAACCCUGUUAAAGCCAACAGAACAGAAACAGUUUUUAUCAAGUUACAGCUAGUCCAGAGCAUAUACAUGAGACUUGUACAUAACAAUACUGCAGAUAUAUGGAGAAACUGUAAUGCAGACAGCAGCUUUAUAGUGGGCUUUCAUAUGCCUAUAUACUUCUAAACUGUAUGUGUAACUACAUUCUUGUCAGUUCUUCAGCCUUUUCAGAUGGAUAUGUUACUUCUCUCUAACGUGUCAGUUUUCUGACUAACCUGUCAUAACAAUCUAUGACACCACUCUCUAACAGCUUACCACUGCUUUACAUGAAAUGUGAGGGUUUGUCUGCAGUCACACAUAGGAAUCAUAUUCCAAAAUAAGAGUGUGGGGGAGACGUCUGUAAGUAUAGAUGUAAGCGCAUACGUAUGUAUACGUAGACAGACACACAGAUCCAAAAUAUCUGCCUGUGAAUCAUUGGAAUUACAAUCACAGAGAAUGAAGCAGCACAAGAUGGGAUAUUUCUCCUGAGCUGCACACUGUUUCUCAGCUUUGUGGAAAACUCCUUUUAUGCUGUGACCACAAAUGAUGCACCAUCAGUGGAGUGAUACCGUGUUGCUGAGAAAUGAACUGCUUGUUUGAAUGGACUUUGCAUUCGUUAUAGAAAAGGAACAACUCCAGUUUUAGAUAGAUUCAUUUAUUUACUUUGCGCUGUUUCCAUGACUCAUAAUCCUUUUAAUAAAUCAAACUAAAGAACAUAACAUCAAAUCAGAGAAUCAUAGAAUCUUUAGAGUUGGAAGGAAUGCUUACAGGCCAAGGAGGUGCAAGGAGGUACAGGUUCUUGAUUUGAGUCCCUCUGGAACACUUGAAAACAUAAAACAUAAAAAUUGUUCAAAAUAUCAUCUUUCCAAAUUAAUAUGUGUUCUUGUUCUGUAUUGUGCACACCGACAUGACAUGAUUCCUGGAAUUUCCUGCUGAUAGAACAUUUUUCCAAAGAUGAGAAGAGAUCCAAAACUUUACAUUAGCAUAGUUCAAAUUCACAAGUCCAUGGCCUCAGCCUACAGACAAUGAUGCCCCAGUCUCACUUGCAGCUAUUUCCAUUAGACGAGUGUGGCUGAUGGGUCAGAAUGGAAAAACUCAUGGGAAAAAAGACAACUUAAAAUCCAAAAGAUAAUGUUGGAGGUUUUAUCUGUGCUUCUGACAAUACACGGCUGUUAACUCUACUAAUCUGGGCUUUCUCUAAGGGCUGGCAGGGAAUUCAACAUAACCAAAUCUACUCUCUCUGAGGUGCGGGAACUUUCUGGAGCUUAUAAUGAAAGUCUGGAUGCUCAUGGAAAUCAAAGCUGCAUGCUCCUGCCCACAGAAGAGACAGGCAGCAUUGCCACUGCCCUGUGGCCCCAGAAAUAGAAUGGAAAUCUUUGAGGGACCUAAGAGAGAGGACUACAGCGAACACACAAUCUGUGUUUCCUGUAAACUUCUUCAUUUUCCCUCCAUCCUACUUUCAAAUGAAAACAGUCCCUACUGUUCUGAUGUAGGGGAGAAGUCUUUCCUGAUACAUAGCUUAACCUUAAAUGCUUAAAAGAGAAGGCAAACAGGUCCCAGAAAGGCUUAUCUGCAUCACAGAGGACACUAGUACCUCCUACCCCUCUCUUUCCAGUUGAAACUUAUCUUGGAUGUUUCAGAAAAAAAAGAUGAAGAGAAAGAGAAAAACAGCCAAGCAUUGUGUAAGGAGGUGUGAAACAUGUUUCUGGCCUUUACUUUCAUUCUGUGCUACCAUCUCAAAAUCUUUUCCUUGUUUCUGGGCAUCCUGUGUGACCCUUGUAAUUACAGUGAAUGUCUCUCAGGCAACAUUAACCCCUGCCCUGAUCCAUCUCUAACAAUGAUUGCAUUAAAAACUUCACUGUGUCUGCAGCUAUUUAAUCAUUCAUCACCUGGAAAGUGGUACUGCUCUACUGCUCUGUGACUGUGGCCAUUAGUGGUGACAAGCAAGGUCUUCCUGAAAUUAAGAAUAUGACAGUAUGAGCUGGCUUAGAUUCGGCCUUUUACAGAUACAUCCAAUAAUGAAAACUCCUUCACAUCGGUACUGUCCAAAGCCCGCUGACGUCAGUGGAGAGAUCUGAUCUCAGUGGGCUUUAAAUCAGACUCUAUAGCUAAGGCUUCCAAAGCAGCUGGGGGGAUUCAGGCACGUAUCUUUCAUUAAAGUGAGGGUAUAUUAAAGCAAAUGGAAGAUAUGUGUCUGAAAUCCCCUAGACUGCUUUGAAAAUCUAAAAUACUGUGCAAGCUGUACAGCUUUCUCUAUAAAAAUAGCUGCCAAAUCUAGCUUUGGUAAAGGCAAUAGAACUGCAUUAAAAGAUCCGCAGAAAGGCCUGGUCCCUCUGAUCCUUUAGGAAAACAGAGAGAAGGAUGGCCAGAGUGCUUUAUUUUCAGCUUUAAACCGUUCCCACGUCAAAGACAUUUGCUCGAGCAAUUUAUGGGAAUGGCAUAGUAGCCAAAAGAAAAGUAAUGCUACUCUUGUCUACGUAGAUGUCACACUUAUAUGGCUCAUCAAGCUGGGAUCAGGACUGCAACAUCUCUCGUGGACAUUAAGGAAUAUUUGAUGUGGGUUUCUCCAUGAGCCUAUGUGCAAGACUGAUCUGGUUGCAAAUUCAUGUUGAUAAGGCUGAGCCCAAGACAGCACCACCAUCAUUCCAGCAGCUCCUCUCAGGAGAAGUCUUGGUACAGACCCUUCUCCUCCUGUCCAGCUUUCAUGGGGACACAGCACUGUACCUCAGCCCCACGUAAGAACUCCCUCUGUUUUCUGAGAAGCAGUGAGACAAGCCUUCUUUCCUAUAGCCCACAAUGACAAUCUACUUAUUAUUCAGACACAGCCUCGCCUAAUUACCUUGUUAUUUUGUGGCAGGCUAGAACAAGGUAGCACCAUUAAGUCAAGUGUCUUCAUUUUAGCCAUCCACUGCCUUCAUUCUUGAUUUAGAAGGCAGUGGCACAAGAGUGGUCUCAGUCACACACAUCCCAUACAGCUCAGGUUGUCGUGCCACUAGCUUACCUUGGUUGUGUAUCUGCUUAUAGACUUUUUUCUUUAUUUCUUGCAUUUUUGGACUACCAAGAACAAGUUACAUUCUGUUAGAGUGACAAAGAGUAAUUGCAUUUUAUGUGUUAUUUCUUGAUGGUAGAGGUACUUCAAACCUCAGAUUGAUUUCAGAUUUCAAAUAUCAGAAAGUUUGAUGCAGUCAGCUCAGGGUGUCCAAUUCUGACCUGUCUCCUGCAAACACAAUCAAAACCUUAUAAGACUCAGAGCUCAGACAAAUGAUAAGCCAAGUCCAGGGAUCUGCCCAUAGUUCAUAUUUUUAGUGCAGGAAGAAUUGACUCAAAGGGAAAAUUGAUGUACAAGAAGAUGUGAUAAAGCUGACGUCCAGAUAGCAUUUGCUCUGCUGAAAUGUUACAACCUGAGCAAGACAAUCUGUGAAAGAGGUAAUUGAGCAUUUGAAAAGCACCUGUUAAUGACGGGUAAGAUAACAACCCCGAGGAACCACCUGUCAGGGCAGGUGAUGAACUCUCCCUCUGAUCUGUUUCUUACUACAGUUUUCUCCAGGGAAACUGGUAGCACAUUCACAUGUCUUUCUAGAGAAAGUUCAUAAUAACAGAGGAUUUAAAUAAACAGAAGAUUGAUUUUAAUGGAAGGUGAAUCAUUUGUGUUUCUUUUUUCUUUUCUCGUGCAGCUGAAAUGUUUUAUCUAGCUUAGAUUAUGAGGAAUGUAAAUAAAUUUAUGUUGAAUGUUAAAUAAACAUUUGCUUUCUUUUUUCCAAUUUCCUUUUCUCUUUCUCUUUUUAAUAAAUCUUAUUUGGGAUGA
rnacentral:lncRNA from 1 species